UGUAGGAGCUGCCGAAGGCUGCGAUCUGUUGAUCUUGUUGUUUACAAACAGCAUCAACAGAUCGCAGCCUUCGGCAGCUCCUACA
rnacentral:misc_RNA from 1 species